GCAUUGCAGGUCAGCUACCAGAACUUCCUGCUGCUGAUCCUGGGAUGUUUCCGAACAUGCUCCCGAACACGUUCAAUUUAUCCGCUCUAGGACAGCCACUGCCACGACACAGUAGGUUACUCGGCAUUCUCGGCGUGUUUACUUUGGUGGACUUCCUCCGAUCGCUAAUGAACAGACGGUUGCUCUAUUCUUCAAUCAAGUUGUGGCUGCUAUCGGGGGAAACACAUUUGGUCUAGGUG